rnacentral:guide_RNA from 1 species
AGAGGGAGACUAUAAUCCCUCAUAUAAGCU